rnacentral:rRNA from 1 species
CCUACGGGUGGCAGCAGUGGGGAAUAUUGGGCAAUGGACGCAAGUCUGACCCAGCAACGCCGCGUGAAGGAAGAAGGUCUUCGGGUUGUAAAGUUCUUUUCUAAGGGAAGAAGAAAGUGACGGUACCUUAGGAAUAAGCCUCGGCUAACUACGUGCCAGCAGCCGCGGUAAUACGUAGGAGGCAAGCGUUAUCCGGAAUGACUGGGGGUAAAGGGUGCGUAGGUGGUUUGACAAGUUAGUAGCGAAACUCCGGGGCUCAACUUCGGAACUACUACUAAAACUGUUGGACUUGAGUGCAGGAGGGGCAAGCGGAAUUCCUAGUGUAGCGGUGGAAUGCGUAGAUAUUAGGAGGAACACCAGUGGCGAAGGCGGAUUGCUGGACUGUAACUGACGCUGAGGCACGAAAGCGUGGGGAGCAAACAGGAUUAGAUACCCCUGUAGUC